UACGUAGGUGGCAAGCGUUAUCCGGAUUUACUGGGUGUAAAGGGCGUGUAGGCGGGAAAGCAAGUCAGAUGUGAAAACCAUGGGCUCAACCUGUGGCCUGCAUUUGAAACUGUUUUUCUUGAGUACUGGAGAGGCAGACGGAAUUCCAUGUGUAGCGGUGAAAUGCGUAGAUAUAUGGAGGAACACCGGUGGCGAAAGCGGCUCUCUGGCCUGUAACUGACACUGAGGCUCGAAAGCGUGGGGAGCAAACAGG
rnacentral:rRNA from 1 species